rnacentral:rRNA from 1 species
GACGGAGGAUGCAAGUGUUAUCCGGAAUCACUGGGCGUAAAGCGUCUGUAGGUGGUCAAAUAAGUCAACUGUUAAAUCUUGAGGCUCAACCUCAAAAUCAGCAGUCGAAACUAUUCGACUAGAGUAUAGUAGGGGUAAAGGGAAUUUCCAGUGGAGCGGUGAAAUGCGUAGAUAUUGGAAAGACCACCAAUGGCGAAGGCAUUCUACUGGGCCAUUACUGACACUGAGAGACGAAAGCUAGGGGAGCGAAUGGG